rnacentral:rRNA from 1 species
CUGGUUCUCCCCGAAAUAGCUUUAGGGCUAGCGUUAUUUUAGAUUACCGGAGGUAAAGCACUGAAUGGUCUAGGGGCCGCGAGGUUACCAAAGCCUAUCAAACUCUGAAUGCCGGAUAAUUGAUGAAUAGCAGUCAGACUGUGUGAGAUAAGUCUCAUAGUCAAAAGGGAAACAGCCCAGAUCUACAGCUAAGGUCCCAAAUGAACACUAAGUGGAAAAUGAUGUGAAACUGCGAAGACAACCAGGAUGUUGGCUUAGAAGCAGCCACUCAUUCAAAGAGUGCGUAAUAGCUCACUGGUCGAGUGGUUUUGCGCAGAAAAUGUAACGGGGCUAAGUGUUCAACCGAAGCUUAGGCAUUGCAGUAAUGCAUUGGGUAGGGGAGCGUCGUAUGCGGGGCGAAGUCAGAGCGGAAGCACUGGUGGACUGCAUACGAGUGAGAAUGCCGGAAUAAGUAGCGAGAAUUAUGUGAGAAUCAUAAUGGCCGAAAAUCUAAGGUUUCUUGGGGAAGGUUCGUCCGCCCAAGGUUAGUCGGGAGCUAAGCUCAGGCCGAAAGGCGUAGGCGAUGCACAUACGGUAGAAAUUCCGUAACCACCGAACAUUUAAGCUAGAGGGACGCUUUCUUUAAGGUUAUCCCGGGCGAUGGUUGCCCCGGGCGUAAGGGACCGAAAUAUAGUAGGGAAGUAACUGGCGAGAGAGACGAGAAAAGCUCUAGUGUAUACUAAGGUGCCCGUACCGCAAACCGACACAGGUAGAUGAGGAGAGUAUUCUAAGGCCAACGGGAGAAGGGUUGUUAAGGAACUCGGCAAAUUGGCCCCGUAACUUCGGGAUAAGGGGCGCCUGCGAGAGCAGGCCGCAGUGAAAAGGCCCAAGCGACUGUUUAGCAAAAACACAGCUCUCUGCUAAAUCGAAAGAUGACGUAUAGGGGGUGACGCCUGCCCGGUGCUGGAAGGUUAAGGGGAGUGCUUAGCGCAAGCGAAGGUGCGAACUUAAGCCCCAGUAAACGGCGGCCGUAACUAUAACGGUCCUAAGGUAGCGAAAUUCCUUGUCAGGUAAGUUCUGACCCGCACGAAUGGCGUAACGAUUUGGGCACUGUCUCAACAGCCCGCCCGGCGAAAUUGUAGUACCGGUGAAGAUGCCGGUUUCCCGCAACUAGACGGAAAGACCCCAUGGAGCUUCACUGUAGCUUGAUAUUGGAUCUCGGUAUUCCAUGUACAGGAUAGGUGGGAGACUUGGAAGUAAGCGCGCCAGCGUUUAUGGAGUCAACCUUGGGAUACCACUCUUGGGAUAUUGGGAUUCUAACCUGCGACCAUGAAUCUGGUCGGGGGACACUGUCAGGUGGGCAGUUUGACUGGGGCGGUCGCCUCCAAAAGAGUAACGGAGGCGCUCAAAGGUUCGUUCAGCACGGAUGGAAAUCGUGCACUGAGUGUAAACGCAUAAACGAGCCUAACUGCGAGAAUGACGGUUCGAGCAGUAACGAAAGUUGGAGUUAGUGAUCCGGCG